rnacentral:rRNA from 1 species
GAUGAACGCUAGCGGCAGGCUUAAUACAUGCAAGUCGAACGGUAAGUGUUGUAGCAAUAUAACACCAAGAGUGACGUACGGGUGCGUAACACGUAUGCAACCUACCCUUACAGGAGGAUAGCUCGGGGAAACUCGAAUUAACCCUCCAUAAUAUAAUUGGAUGGCAUCAUUUGAUUAUUAAAACUCAGGUGGUAAAGGAUGGGCAUGCGUCUGAUUAGUUAGUUGGCGGGGUAAUGGCCCACCAAGACGAUGAUCAGUAGGGGACCUGAGAGGGUGAUCCCCCACACUGGCACUGAGAUACGGGCCAGACUCCUACGGGAGGCAGCAGUAGGGAAUAUUGGUCAAUGGAUGCAAGUCUGAACCAGCCAUGCCGCGUGCAGGAAGAAGGCCUUCUGGGUUGUAAACUGCUUUUGCCAGGGGAUAAAAUGUCUGUGCGCAGAUAAUUGAAGGUACCUGGUGAAUAAGCCACGGCUAACUACGUGCCAGCCGCCGCCGUAACAC